rnacentral:rRNA from 1 species
UACGUAGGGUGCGAGCGUUGUCCGGAAUUAUUGGGCGUAAAGGGCGCGUAGGCGGCUUUGCAAGUGACGGGUGAAAUCCCCCGGCUUAACCGAGGAACUGCCUGUCAAACUGCAUGGCUUGAGACCAGGAGAGGUGAGUGGAAUUCCCAGUGUAGCGGUGAAAUGCGUAGAUAUUGGGAGGAACACCAGUGGCGAAGGCGGCUCACUGGACUGGUACUGACGCUGAUGCGCGAAAGCGUGGGGAGCAAACAGG